AGGAACUCUCCCUCUGCUGGCGGAGGUGGGAGUGACUCACAGUCCUCCCACGGAGGUGGAGGUGUAACCAGCAGGAACUCUCCCUCUGCUGGCAGGUACCUGGGCUGUGGAUGUUUGGCCUUCCCCCUUUUGGGCUGUGGACACACUGGCUCCUCCCUCUUGGGCUGUGGACACACUGACUCCUCCCUCUUGGGCUGUGGACACACUGGCUCCCCCCUCUUGGGCUGUGGACGCUCGGCCUCCUCCCUUUUGGGCUGUGGACGCACAGACUCCUCCCUCAUGGGCUGUGGACGCUCAGUGUCCUCCCUCUUGGGCUGUGGACGCUCAGUCUCCUCCCACUUGGGCUGUGGACGCUCAGUCUCCUCCUCCAGGUCUCCCCUCUCAGGUGGUGAUGGGACCAGCAGGCACUCUCCCUCUGCUGGUGGGAAUGGGCAUAGCAGGCACCCCUCUGUCAGGAGAGGGCAGUUGAGUGGAGAAUGCCCCCGCUCACCGCAGAUAGGGCACCAGCAGUCAUGCAUGACCGCCCGGAGGAUGGCAUCCCAGCUGCUCUCCCGCUUGGUGGCCGCGGCUGGUAGCUCCCGCUUCUGGGGUCUCCCCCGGGGUAUCUGGUCCUGGCUCGCUUGGGCAGCCCACUCCUCUCCCUGGUAUUGGGUGGGGCAGAUGGCCACGGUGUGCCCAAACUCCCCACAACCAGGGCACCACUCCUCCACCACAACAACCCCUGGUGGCUGCUGUUGCAGCUGCUUUUGCUGCCUUCUGCCGCUCUUCCUCCUCUCUUCUCUCAUCUUUCUUCCUCCCAUCCUCCUCUUCACACUCCUUUUCUCCCUCCACACAAUUAGAAAAAAAAAAAUGAAAAAGCUGCAGUACCCUCUUCUGCCUGCGUCUAGGAGGCGUUGCGAUCCCACGCAGGACACCACGUGUGACAGGAAUGGACGAGUGGUGACGUCACGGCAGAAGAAGGGACAACAAAAACAAAAGAUGUGAAGCAGGAGGCGAGGCUCCGUGUGGAGGCUGAAGAAGAAAACCCAGCAGUCCUUUGUGAAAGAACCAGACCUGUCCAUCCCUGCUGAACUUGACAUUCAGCAGCAAAAGAAAGAUCUGAGGGGGGAGAUGGUGGUGGAGAUCAGGAGCCAAAUGACCACCCUGUCCAACGAAGUGGUAAGUGGUCUGAAAGCAGAGUGGAGCCAGGGAGAAUCAGGAUGGAACAUCCAGCCAUGUCCACCUCCCUGGCAUGAUGACGCUACUGCACAAUGGCCAGUAAUGCCACACCCUUCACAGAGACAAGACUCUCAGACUGGUUUUAGAGGGACAUUUUAAUCAAUAUGAUGCACAAAGGAGGCCUUUCUGCAGACAUUGUCAACAACCAGGUCAUAUUCAACGCCAUUGCCGACAGAGGGGAAUACAAAAUGAUGUCACCCAGCAGUUGAUGCAACCCAAGAUGACGGCAUGUCUAAUGAAGCCCUGAUUGGAGAAAGCCCAGUUGUUUCUGUGAAGAUGGGAGAAUAGAUUCAAACCUGUCCUUCCACUGCCACUUGAUUUCCAUGACACCUCCUAUCAAGAGCAGACUGAAGUCCAAUUUAAUAUUUCGGACAGUAUAUUGACAGUAAAGUGUUUGGGAAAGUCAGGCCACUUCUAGACAGUGUGUGGCAAGGCUGCCUCCGCCAACAAGCAGAUGCAAAGCUCUCCAUUGAUGAACAAAUGGUUCAGUUAGGCUGCUGUACCUUCAAGCUGUUGUGCCAAACAAGCCAAACCAAACAGGAUUGGAAAUAUUUGUCCUUUCCUCACCAGUUGGUCUUGUAUUAGAUUUUAAGGUGUAUCAAGAAUACUUUCACUGAUACAGGAUUAGGAAUUAGAGCAUCAACAGUCCUGCGUGUGGCUGAACAUGAUCCCAG